rnacentral:ncRNA from 1 species
AAAGGGGUGCUGUGCUAUAGCAUGGCUGAGAUUAUACCCUCAAAACCUGACGCAGGUAAUGCUGCCGCAGGGAUUGAAAA